rnacentral:lncRNA from 1 species
AUGGAGGAACUCAAGCUUUUAAAUAGUUCAAAAAGCGCCUCCACUUCAUUAACAGAAGAUGAAAAGUUACAAUUAGAUCCAGAAGCAAGGCGAGAAAGCUGAUGAUGAUCAAAGCGAAGUUUCUUGGAAACAGAAGGAGGGUUGAAAUCGAAGCAACAAGAGAAGGUGAAUAAUAUGACUUCAGCUAUGAUAAUAAUUGGGGUAAAUGCAGCGCAAAUCUUGUCUCCAAUGUUCCAUCUCUUUACAAAACAAACAUUCAUUCAUUCAAUUCAAAACACACACAAAAUAAUAAUAAUAAUAAUAACAAUAAUAGUAAAAGAAUUAGAGGGAGGGGAAUUGUACCGAUGAAUCAUUUGAUGUGU